GGGUCAGUAGGUUGGUCGUGCCACCGGUACGUAGUGGUCUCACUGAUUCCUCCUUCCUGAAGAACCGUAAUGCCAUUAAUUUGGUGUUGCGGGGAAACAGGACUGUUACUUUGAAAAAAUCAGAGUGUUUAAAGCAAGCUAACGCUUGAAUACAUUAGCAUGGAAUAAUGAAAUAGGACGAUCGAUCCUAUUUUGUUGGUUUCUAGGAUUGACGUA
rnacentral:rRNA from 1 species